rnacentral:rRNA from 1 species
CUACGGGGGGCUCCAGUGGGGAAUAUUGGACAAUGGGGGAAACCCUGAUCCAGCAAUGCCGCGUGUGUGAAGAAGGCCUGCGGGUUGUAAAGCACUUUCGGUUGGGAGGACUGCUUCUAGCACUAAUAUUGUUGGAAGUUGACGUUACCUUCAGAAGAAGCACCGGCUAACUCCGUGCCAGCAGCCGCGGUAAUACGGAGGGUGCAAGCGUUAAUCGGAAUUACUGGGCGUAAAGCGCGCGUAGGCGGCUAGAUCAGUCGGGUGUGAAAGCCCCGGGCUUAACCUGGUAACUGCAUCCGAUACUGUCUAGCUUGAGUACAGGAGAGGAGAGUGGAAUUCCACAUGUAGCGGUGAAAUGCGUAGAUAUGUGGAGGAACACCAAUGGCGAAGGCAGCUCUCUGGCCUGAUACUGACGCUGAGGUGCGAAAGCGUGGGGAGUAAACAGGAUUAGAUACCCGUGUAGUC